UGCAAGUCGAGCGGUAGAGAGAAGCUUGCUUCUCUUGAGAGCGGCGGACGGGUGAGUAAUGCCUAGGAAUCUGCCUGGUAGUGGGGGAUAACGCUCGGAAACGGACGCUAAUACCGCAUACGUCCUACGGGAGAAAGCAGGGGACCUUCGGGCCUUGCGCUAUCAGAUGAGCCUAGGUCGGAUUAGCUAGUUGGUGAGGUAAUGGCUCACCAAGGCGACGAUCCGUAACUGGUCUGAGAGGAUGAUCAGUCACACUGGAACUGAGACACGGUCCAGACUCCUACGGGAGGCAGCAGUGGGGAAUAUUGGACAAUGGGCGAAAGCCUGAUCCAGCCAUGCCGCGUGUGUGAAGAAGGUCUUCGGAUUGUAAAGCACUUUAAGUUGGGAGGAAGGGCAGUAAAUUAAUACUUUGCUGUUUUGACGUUACCGACAGAAUAAGCACCGGCUAACUCUGUGCCAGCAGCCGCGGUAAUACAGAGGGUGCAAGCGUUAAUCGGAAUUACUGGGCGUAAAGCGCGCGUAGGUGGUUCGUUAAGUUGGAUGUGAAAUCCCCGGGCUCAACCUGGGA
rnacentral:rRNA from 1 species